GUAUCAGGUGUGGCUUCCAGGGACUGUGCAAAAUUGCUGGAUUAGUGUCCUAUUCACAUAGCAGCAUAUGGAUGGUGCCGAGGUUAUUUAUUUCUUGUAUUAAAUAGUAUUUAUUAAAUAAAUUAAUGUUGGACUACUAGGGGUUCAACUGGUGGGACUGACACCAGUCCUAAGAAGUGAGGUCCUGCGAGUCCCCAAUUCUAGUUAAAAUUUUUAUGCAAGAGAAGCAUGAAGGAAAAUGCAUAACUUACUAAAAUCUUUGACAUGCCACAAAGACAUGCCAUAACUUUUGAUUGAUUGGGGUCUCAAACUUUUACAUGUCUGUGUAACAUGUCAAAAGUUUUUUGGAAUAACAGUGACCCUCGUCAAUAUGUUGCUUUAAAGGCCAGCAGGAUACUAUUAAAAGAAACAGAGAUCCAAGGGAAGGGUACAUAAUCUUAUGAUUUUAUAAAGCAGACUAAUCAGGGUCAGGUCUUAAAAAAUGCAAAGGAAAGCAUCUGCCCUAAUAAUUGGACUUAAGUUAUGAGGUUAAAGGAAACAAAGUUAAAAGACACAUGUAAAGGGGUUAGUUAGCAUAAUAGUUUUUUUUUUUCAAUAAAAGUGCUCAGGCAGUCUCAUAACAUAAAAAAUCCCAUACUUACCUUCCUACCUCCCCCACAGCAUCUAGUAUUACAGCACCAAGUCUCUGCUAAACAUCUCUUUCUGGAGCUGCAGACAAUACCUCACUGACUCCAGCGAGUUGCAAUGUGAUGUGCCAUCUGCAGUUAUGGGGAGGAAAUAUCAGUGGAGACCAGGGCAUCAUGAUACCAGAGGCUACAGGGAGCAGAGGAGGAGCAAAAAUAUUAAAAGGAAGCUUUAAUAUUGAUAGCCUAUCCUUAGGAUCAAUUGGAAAAAUUGGGUAUGUGUAGCCAGCCUUAUCUGCCGAUACCAAGCACUUUACUGAGACCGCACAUCUGGACCCAGGCCGGACUCCACCCCAUGCAAACGGCGACAGUAAUCCUCAUCACGGGACUGCCACUCCCGAGGACACCGGCCGUAUACUACCAGUAAGCGGUGAUCUUUUCAACGGCAUACAGGACAUUGCUGGAUAUCAGUUCAUAGACAGAUGGUACAUUGACUGAAACAGAUCUGAACUGAGGGAAAUGUCUCGAAUUUCAACUCUAGCUUAUAAAAGAGAAAUAUGGAAGUGAAAUAAACAAUAUUUGUCUAUGGCUUACUGUGGUGGCACAUGCUAAGCUUUCGCUCCACUAGUGGCAAAAAACAUGAGACCCCACUAUGUGGCCAGAUCAUUUCCAAGACUAUUCCUCAAAGAUGCCCAGGUGCUACAAGACACAGAGUCGAGAAUCCCUGUGGCAUUAGGAUGUCUCCUGGGAUGUCAGCCACAAUGAAUGUGCAGGUAUUAUCUUAGGUCUGGAGGAGCUUUCUACUGGCUGAGGCACACAAACAGUGACACCGAUUUACUUUGCCACCCCUUCUUUAAUAAAUCACAAAAAUGUGUAUAAGAAAUACAUUUCAUAUAAAAAUUUGAUUUAA